rnacentral:rRNA from 1 species
ACGCUCGACACCUACGGGAGGCAGCAGUGGGGAAUAUUGCACAAUGGGGGAAACCCUGAUGCAGCGACGCCGCGUGAGCGAAGAAGUAUUUCGGUAUGUAAAGCUCUAUCAGCAGGGAAGAAACUGACGGUACCUGACUAAGAAGCACCGGCUAAAUACGUGUCAGCAGCCGCGUAAUCUGAGCGGGCUGGCAAGGC